rnacentral:rRNA from 1 species
UACGGAGGGUGCAAGCGUUGUCCGGAUUUAUUGGGUUUAAAGGGUGCGUAGGUGGCCUUAUAAGUCCGUGGUGAAAGCCUGCUGCUCAACAGCAGAACUGCCAUGGAUACUGUAGGGCUUGAGUCCAGACGAGGUUGGCGGAAUAGAAGGUGUAGCGGUGAAAUGCAUAGAUACCUUCUAGAACCCCGAUUGCGUAGGCAGCUGACUAGGCUGGUACUGACACUGAGGCACGAAAGCGUGGGGAGCGAACAGG